CAAUGUGUCUGUUGGAUCUCUGUUUGUACCUCUUUUCUCACGAGUCGAUCGUUUAGAUCGUCUCGAUGUAGUGCUAUCUUUGAACGAAUGUUUUGCACUUCCGUUGCCAUCCUCAGACAGAUAUAUUACACGAUGAGGCAGUGAACUGCCGCGAAGUGGUCCUUCUCUUUGCACGAACAAGUGUUUGGUUCUGACAUUUGUCUGUUCCCCUCGUAUCAAUGUUUCGCCAAACGAAACGAAGAGAAAUAACGCAACAAACAAUGUCUGCAUGGCGAGCUAUACUCAAUGCAGGCAAAACAACAGCAGCAACAAAACUUCAAUGACACAAUGUUCUACACUGAACUCAAUAUAUCACUAGAGUAAUAAAGUUCGGAAAUUCUGAUGUCAUAACGAAUAGGUACGUGCUGCCAUAUAUGGUGCUGCGUACAUUUGCCCACGGUUAAUAGACCUGCCCAAAAUCAACCUCGUACCCAGGAUCUUUCUUUGCCAAAAUUG